CGAUGUAAUAAAUGGAUCUUAAUUAUAAAUUUAAUACUAAACAGAAAACAAUAAACUUGCGGAAAAGAUGAUAUACCGCAAACAAAAGGUGCAAAGGUUUUUGUACGCCAUAUCCGGAUUUCGACAAUUAAUGUCUCUUCAGUGAUGUUAGGAAUCGAAACGGUAUUUGGAAAGCCAUACAAUUUACCUCAAUUUAAGAUAGACUCUUGAAUUUUGAGGAGUCAAAAUAGGAUGAACGGAUCAUAUAAACCCGAAGGCAAAUAUAAUACAACCCCAAACGAAAAAAUAUAAACAAGUCUAAAUUGAAAACAACGUUCAAACCUAUGAUUGCGUUGGAUAAAAACCGCAAUUUUUAUACGUGUGCAUGCAAAACAAAUUUCUUGUUAGAGGGGUCUAAAUACAGCACAAACAACAUUUUUCAAAAGACCAAAAAAGUGAAAAAGUGUAUUUUAACAAAACGCAUUUGACUAACAGGUCGAACAACAAAUGUUAUUAAACCCUGCUGACUGCCAUUGGCGAUUGCCAAAUAAACGGAUCACCGAUGUAAUAAAUGGAUCUUAAUUAUAAAUUUAA